AUUGAACGCUGGCGGUAGGCCUAACACAUGCAAGUCGAACGCGAAAGUCCUCCGGGAUGAGUAGAGUGGCGGACGGGUGAGUAACGCGUAGGAAUCUAUCCUGUAGUGGGGGAUAACGUUUCGAAAGGAACGCUAAUACCGCAUACGCCCCAAGGGGGAAAGCGGGGGAUCUUCGGACCUCGUGCUAUAGGAGGAGCCUGCGUCGGAUUAGCUAGUUGGUGAGGUAAAGGCUCACCAAGGCGACGAUCCGUAGCUGGUCUGAGAGGAUGAUCAGCCACACCGGAACUGAGACACGGUCCGGACUCCUACGGGAGGCAGCAGUGGGGAGUAUUGCGCAAUGGGCGAAAGCCUGACGCAGCCAUACCGCGUGUGUGAAGAAGGCCUUCGGGUUGUAAAGCACUUUCAGUGGGGAGGAAAAGCUGGUGGCUAAUAUCCAUCGGCCGUGACGCUACCCACAGAAGAAGCACCGGCUAAUUCCGUGCCAGCAGCCGCGGUAAAAC
rnacentral:rRNA from 1 species